UCUGGGCCCGCCCGGCACUCGUAGCCGCCCCUUUCCCGUGAGGCGAGUCGGAGCCGCCGUCGCCCGGUGGCCCCGGUUCGAGUCCCCGCGUCGGACGCCAUGGCGGGCUCCGAGCCGGGGGCCCCGGGCCGGAGCGGCAGCGCCGCGCGCCUGGCCCCGCUGGGCCCCGAUCAGCUGCGGCAGGUCCUGGAGCAGGUGGCCCAGGCGCAGCCGCCGCCCUCCGUCCCGCGGGCCGCCCCGCAGCCGGGUCCCCGCGCCCAGCUCGUGCGCCCGCCGCGCCCGCUGCCGCCCCAGCAACUGGAAACCAUCUGUGUCACGGUAACGUCUGGAGAAACGAAAGGUCAGGAAAGGCCGAAGCCCCAGCUGGCCACCGUCCAUCCCAGGACAGCCCGGCCGAGCCAGCCGCCCGGGAGGCACUGCCGCGUGUUGGGGCUCAGCGUCGCCAGCCCUCGGCUGCCCAGGGCACAGCCCCUCCUGAGCGCCCGGCCGCAGCCUCCUGUCCAGGUGCUGCUCCAGAGGUCACUGCCCGCCCUCCAGCCGGUCCCUGCGGUGAGACUUGUGGCUCCCCAGGCGCCAAAUGGACUCGGCGCCACGUCGGCCCCUCAGCCAACCUCCGGCCAGCCGGCAGUAACAUCUGUUUCAUCCAGUUCAGCAAAUUUAUUUAGUUCCAACUUGCAUACAAAAGACACUGAGAAACUAAAAAAACCUUUCAAAGUGAAAACACGUUCUGGGCGGAUAUCUCGACCUCCCAGGUAUAAAGCCAAAGAUUAUAAAUUCAUACGGAUGGAGGAUUUGGCCGACAGCCACCCGUCCGACUCGGACGAUUAUUCAGAACUGAGUGUGGAAGAGGAGGAGGAGCAGAGGGACAAGCAGGCGCUCUUUGACUUGCCGAGCAGCUCCCUGAGGCCCAGAGCCUUCAGGUGUCAGACGUGUGGGAAGUCGUACAUAGGGAAGGGGGGACUGGCCCGGCACUUUAAACUCCAGCCGGGCCACGGCCAGCCCCCGCCGGAGCCGUUGCUGUCUGAGAAAGCCCAGGGGAGCAUGGCCCGGGGCUGUGCGGAGGGCAGGCCCCGUGGCCCCACGCCCCCGGGACCGUCCACACCAGCUCCUCUGAGUGCGGAAGGGGCCCCGUCAGCUCGGGGUGGCCCGCAGAAUGGUCAGCCUAUGGAAGGGGAAGCAGCGCUGGUGACGGAACCAGCAGAUGGACGUUACGCAGCCCUUUGGGAAUCAGAGAGACGCCCCGGACCUGAAAGGGGCUACGCCCCCGCCCCCGCGGGCCAGAGCCGAGCUGCCAGGAGCAGAGCCCGGCUCCAGGAGGUUCUGCAGCAGUGUGCGCUCGAGGACCUCGUGGAGUUGGCUCUGCCCCGGCUAGCCCAGGCCGUGACCGUGUAUGAAUUUCUGCUGACGAAGGCGAGUGCUGAGAAAGGUCAUCAGCCUGUGUUCCCAGCCGUGUACAAGGAGUUUGAAGAGUUGCAUCAGAUGGUUAAAAAAAUGUGUCAGGAUUACCUCCGUGGCCCCAGCCCGCGAUCUCAGGAGCCCCUGGAAAUAAAGGAUCCCGAGACGGCGCCUCGCUGGACAGAGGGACUUCGCAGACUCAGAGGCAGGCCUUCAGUCCUUCACCCUGUGCUCCUCAGGUGGCUGAGUCCUUGGGAAUCGCGGAGGAAUUCCUGCGCAAGGAAGAAACACACACCGACGACGGCAUCGGACACUCGUGCAGCGGCAGGGAGGCCAGCCCGCCGAAGAGGGAGGACGAGACCGCAGGGGAGACACUGACUUCAGCGAAAAGGCCCAGAAGGGCAGCUCUGCCCCAGGAGCCCCCCGAGGCUUCCGCCUGCAGCGGCCAGAGGACACCGGCGGCGUCCCCGGGCGGCCAGCAAGGGUUUGCCCCCGGAGUCAAUGGGACCGCCUGUCCCCGGCGUGAGGAGGGCCACACCACACCGAGAUCUGCGGGCAACAGCAGCACGGGCUGGGCCAGCAGCUGAGAGCGCUUGCCGGCGUAGCAGCCAGGAGCCUGUGUGGAACCCCCUUGCGUGGGAUGUCAGUGGGCCGGGCCUUCACGCUCAGCCCGGACAGCCCAGCCGGGGGUGCUGACCCGGAGCCGGCCGCAGCGAGCCCCACCGAGGCUGCGCAGGGAGCCUCUUCAGACCUGGGCGGCGGGGACUCCGCGGCGGCUGCAUGUCCGCGGGAGGGGUGCGUCCCUGCUGCCUGGCGGGGCUGGAGCCCCGGAGUGCCGGCGAGGCCCUGCUCACGCGGCUGCGGUCCCUCCGCCGGAGAAAGUCUUGUCCCUGCAGCCCGUGUCCCAGCCGGGCCUCCGCUGUCUGCUCGGUGGGUCUCGGGCCACGUGCGGGGCUUGGACCUGUCGCCCUUCGGACCCGGCCACACACUGACCAGAGGGAACCGGAGAGCGUCGUCCCGAGGGUGAGGCCGUGGCUUUGAGAUCACCAGCGGGUGCCCGGAGCCGUUGUCUUCCCACGUGACUGUCCUGGCGCCUCCGGGCGCCGUAGUGUCUGGGAGGCGGGCAUUGUUCACCGGCCCUGAGCGGAGCGGCCUGCCCUGCAGCCCGGCCCGGGAGGGCUUCCUCCGGAGACCGAGGCGCAGAGCCCUCCCCGCGAGAGGGAGUCAGAACACAGCCUGACGGACUGAUUUUAUGCAGAGGGUCUAUUUCAAGGCGUGUAUAUUUUUCUAAUGUGAAUACUGACACCAAGGAGCCUUUUAUUUAUAAAGAAUGAUGUCUUUCCACCCCA